rnacentral:rRNA from 1 species
GAUGAACGCUGGCGGCGUGCUUAACACAUGCAAGUCGAACGAAGAUGCCGGAGUGCUUGCACUUUGGCAGACUGAGUGGCGGACGGGUGAGUAACGCGUGAGUAACCUGCCCUAGAGUGGGGGACAACAGUUGGAAACGACUGCUAAUACCGCAUAAGCCCACGGUACCGCAUGGUACUGAGGGAAAAGGAUUUAUUCGCUUUAGGAUGGACUCGCGUCCAAUUAGCUAGUUGGUGAGGUAACGGCCCACCAAGGCGACGAUUGGUAGCCGGACUGAGAGGUUGAACGGCCACAUUGGGACUGAGACACGGCCCAAACUCCUACGGGAGGCAGCAGUGGGGAAUAUUGCACAAUGGGGGAAACCCUGAUGCAGCGACGCCGCGUGAGCGAAGAAGUAUUUCGGUAUGUAAAGCUCUAUCAGCAGGGAAGAAGAAUGACGGUACCUGACUAAGAAGCACCGGCUAAAUACGUG